GACGAACGCUGGCGGCGUGCUUAACACAUGCAAGUCGAACGCUGAAGCUCAGCUUUUGUUGGGUGGAUGAGUGGCGAACGGGUGAGUAACACGUGAGUAACCUGCCCCCUUCUUUGGGAUAACGCCCGGAAACGGGUGCUAAUACUGGAUAUUCACUGGUCUCCGCAUGGGGGUUGGUGGAAAGGGUUUUUCUGGUGGGGGAUGGGCUCGCGGCCUAUCAGCUUGUUGGUGGGGUGAUGGCCUACCAAGGCUUUGACGGGUAGCCGGCCUGAGAGGGUGACCGGUCACAUUGGGACUGAGAUACGGCCCAGACUCCUACGGGAGGCAGCAGUGGGGAAUAUUGCACAAUGGGCGCAAGCCUGAUGCAGCGACGCCGCGUGAGGGAUGGAGGCCUUCGGGUUGUGAACCUCUUUCGCUCAUGGUCAAGCCGCAACAAUGGUUGUGGUGAGGGUAGUGGGUAAAGAAGCGCCGGCUAACUACGUG
rnacentral:rRNA from 1 species